AAAAAUAGUAGCAUCUGUGUCAAGAAAAAAAUUCUAAGGGUUAACAUAACAUGAUGUAAACUGUUUCAUCUGUUCUUCCUACUUGCCCAUUUUAAUCAGAAGUGAGUAAGUAGAGCUUAUAUGCACUGAACUCGAGGAAUGCUAAUGGGAUGUCUGCAUCAUGUUGUACCCAGAGUACUUAUGCCAGAGUAGGAGAGCCUUUAAUUCUGUAAUUCUCUGAGGCAAGAAAAGCCUUCUGAAGAGUUACUUUAAAUUUAAACUCUCAUUCUAAUGUUAGGCAGCCUGUUGGAUCUCCGAGUUAAAAAUUGCUUCAGCUUUAGUUACUAGAGCCAGAUGUAACAUUGACCUUAAAUGGUAAAAGCUCCCAAGAGUGAAAGAGAGGCUGGCCCGAGGGGAAAGAGAAGAAUAACUGAAGUUUUAGGAAGCUCUUGCCUACAGCAUCCCAGCCAUCAGCCUGCUGAAUAUUUAUUAUCCUUUCUUCACCUGUGCUGCAAGGCACUGUGCUGACCAUGAGAAUUCCAGACCUUAAACUCUCCUGAUAGGUAAUAAUCUUUUUGUUUGCAUUUUAAAUUUUACCUCUGUUGUUUGAAACAGUUGGGCUAAU
rnacentral:lncRNA from 12 species